UUAGUAACGGCGAGUGAAGCGGUAAUAGCUCAAAUUUGAAAUCUGGCAUCAGCCCGAAUUGUAAUUUGUAGAGGAUUGUUCGGUCGCGAUAAAGGUCCAAGUUUUCUGGAACGAAACGUCAUGGAGGGUGAGAAUCCCGUAUCCGGCUUAUUGUCAAGACCAUGUGAACAACCUUCGAAGAGUCGAGUUGUUUGGGAAUGCAGCUCAAAAUGGGUGGUAAAUUCCAUCUAAAGCUAAAUAUUGGCCAGAGACCGAUAGCGCACAAGUAGAGUGAUCGAAAGAUGAAAAGCACUUUGGAAAGAGAGUUAAAAGUACUUGAAAUUGCUGAAAGGGAAGCGCUUGCAAUCAGACUUGAUUCAAACAUUCAGUCUCUCUUUUGGGAGAUGCACUUGUUUUCAUCAGGCCAGCAUCAAUUCGAAUGGUUGGAUAAAGGUUUAGGGAAUGUAGCUCCUCGGAGUGUUAUAGCCCUUUACACAAUACAAUCAAUUUGGAUUGAGGAUCGCGUUUACAUGGAUGCUGGCAUAAUGGUUGUAAGCGGCCCGUCUUGAAACACGGACCAAGGAGUCGAACGUUGUUGCGAGUGUUUGGGUGUUAAACCCAUACGCGAAAUGAAAGUGAACGUAGGUGAGAGCUUCGGCGCAUCAUCGACCGAUCUUGAUGUUUUCGGAUAGAUUUGAGUAUGAGCAAUCGCGUUCGGACCCGAAAGAUGGUGAACUAUGCGUGAAUAGGGUGAAGCCAGAGGAAACUCUGGUGGAGGCUCGCAGCGGUUCUGACGUGCAAAUCGAUCGUCAAAUUUGCGUAUAGGGGCGAAAGACUUAUCGAACCA
rnacentral:rRNA from 1 species